ACGGCAGCACGGGGGCAAUCCUGGUGGCGAGUGGCGAACGGGUGAGUAAUAUAUCGGAACGUGCCCAGUCGUGGGGGAUAACGUAGCGAAAGCUACGCUAAUACCGCAUACGAUCUAUGGAUGAAAGCGGGGGAUCGCAAGACCUCGCGCGAUUGGAGCGGCCGAUAUCAGAUUAGGUAGUUGGUGAGGUAAAGGCUCACCAAGCCGACGAUCUGUAGCUGGUCUGAGAGGACGACCAGCCACACUGGGACUGAGGCACGGCCCAGACUCCUACGGGAGGCAGCAGUGGGGAAUUUUGGACAAUGGGCGCAAGCCUGAUCCAGCAAUGCCGCGUGCAGGAUGAAGGCCUUCGGGUUGUAAACUGCUUUUGUACGGAACGAAACGGUGAGCUCUAAUACAGUUUGCUAAUGACGGUACCGUAAGAAUAAGCACCGGCUAACUACGUGCCAGCAGCCGCGGUAAUACGUAGGGUGCGAGCGUUAAUCGGAAUUACUGGGCGUAAAGCGUGCGCAGGCGGUGAUGUAAGACAGAUGUGAAAUGCCCGGGCUCAACCUGGGACCUGCAUUUGUGACUGCAUCGCUAGAGUACGGUAGAGGGGGAUGGAAUUCCGCGUGUAGCAGUGAAAUGCGUAGAUAUGCGGAGGAACACCGAUGGCGAAGGCAAUCCCCUGGACCUGUACUGACGCUCAUGCACGAAAGCGUGGGGAGCAAACAGGAUUAGAUACCCUGGUAGUCCACGCCCUAAACGAUGUCAACUGGUUGUUGGGUCUUCACUGACUCAGUAACGAAGCUAACGCGUGAAGU
rnacentral:rRNA from 1 species